AUCCACAUCCCAGAGGGAAGCGGGAUAUUUUCCUCCUAUCUAUCCACCCCAGAGGGAUACAAAGGGGGAUAUUUUCCUCCUAUCUAUCAACGUCCCAGAGGGAUACAAAGCGGGAUAUUUUCCUCCUAUCUAUCCACAUCCCAGAGGGAUACAAAGCGGGAUAUUUUCCUCUUAUCUAUCCACAUCCCAGAGGGAUACGAAGCGGGAUAUUUUCCUCCUAUCUAUCCACCCCAGAGAGAUACAAAGGGGGAUAUUUUCCUCUUAUCUAUCCACAUCCCAGAGGGAUACAAAGCGGGAUAUUUUCCUCCUAUCUAUCCACCCCAGAGGGAUACAAAGGGGGAUAGUUAAAAAAAACGUGGAGUAACUUCACAGGAAAAGCCAGGUUUCUGGACUCCGGGAAAAUUUAGUGUUGUCUGUGCAAAACAUUUUGAAAACAAAUACGUUUGCGGACGAAAGUUAAGUUAUAACGCUGUUCCCAGUCUUCAUCUUCCCCACCAUCCACAUCAACAGGAACAGCUAGAUAAUGGAGAGGGCAUUCUUCUGAGUCAUAAACAGACUUCAACUGUUCCCUCUCGGAGUAAUUCGGCUCUCCCUCAGAGAAGUUCUGUUCUACCUCAGGGGAGUUCUGUUCUACCUCAGGGGAGUUCUUUUCUACCUCAGGGGAGUUCUGUUCUCCUACAGAGGAGUUCUGAUAUACCUCAGAGUAGCUCUUUUGUUCCUGAGCCAGCCAACAACAAGAGAAAAGUUGAAGAACAGACAACAGAAGAAUUUUACACCUCUAGCUUUGAAGAAAUUCCAGAAAAUGGAUUAAUUGCUAACGCAAUUAUCCAGCAAUACAAAAAAGAAGAAUUAAGUUGUCUAACUACAGAAAUGAAAAGUACAGCUUUGAGUUGAUGAAAUUUUCUCUAACUCUUAAAGGACAUUCAAGAAAAGCUUACAACUAUGUCAGAGAAACCAAUUCUGGAAUCAGGCACAAAAAUACUAAGCUAAUACUGUUUAAAAAUGAAUAGCUUUCAAAUUAUCCAUUUUAAAUAGCUAAUGAAAUAAAUAAUUGAA